UACGCCUACGGGGCGCAGCAGUGAGGAAUAUUGGUCAAUGGGCGAGAGCCUGAACCAGCCAAGUCGCGUGAGGGAUGACUGCCCUAUGGGUUGUAAACCUCUUUUGUAUGGGGGGAAUAAGCUUUACGAGUAGAGUGAUGACAGCACCAUACGAAUAAGCAUCGGCUAACUCCGUGCCAGCAGCCGCGGUAAUACGGAGGAUGCGAGCGUUAUCCGUAUUUAUUGGGUUUAGAGGGUGCGUAGGCGCCAUUAUAAGUUAUUGGUAAAAUAUUGG
rnacentral:rRNA from 1 species